UUAUUGAGUCAGUAAGGUUUUUUAUGUGCGACUCGGCAUGUCCUCGAAUCACCCCCACGCUAAGUUUACCUACCCGUAGUUUAAAUUGUCCUCCAGUAUAACAUUUACAAACAGGCAGGGCAGACAGACAGGUAGUCAGACAGACAGACAGACAGACAGACAGACAGACAGACAGACAGACAGACAGACAGACAGACAGGUAGGCAGACAGACAGAUAGGUAGGUAGGCAGACAGACAGGAGGACAGACAGGUAGGUAGGUAGGCAGACAGACAGGUAGGCAGACAGACAGAUAGGUAGGCAGACAGACAGGCAGACAGGUAGGCAGACAGACAGACAGACAGGUAGGCAGACAGACAGAUAGGUAGGUAGGCAGACAGACAGGAGGACAGACAGGUAGGUAGGCAGACAGACAGGAGGACAGACAGGUAGGUAGGUAGGUAGGUAGGUAGGUAGGCAGACAGACAGGUAAACUGUCAGACAGAGACAGACUAUUUUAUUUCUGUAAAGCCGAGGGUGUAUCUGAGCUGUCUGGUAAUGUCUGAACUCUAACCUGACUGCUGUUCUGGGAUGAAGCAGAGCGCUGUGGACUCCCAGCUCAUCCCUGUUUUACCUGCCUACGCACACACUCACACACACACUCACACACACACACACACACACACACACAUAUACAGCCUCUGCGGACAGUCAGCCAUGGCAGUGUGUGUCUCUUUUGUUGAGAAGUGUGGUUAAUUAAAGAACACUGUAUCUCAGUGGACCUCCCUCUAGCUCUCUCUCUCUCUCUCCCUCUCUCUCUCUGUCUCUCUCUCAUACACACACACACAGACACACACACAGACACACACACAGACACACACACAGACACACAUGCACACACAGACACACACAGACACACACACACACUGCGUUACCUCUGCCUCUUGGCCUAGUUAGGGCAGAAUCAAACUGAGAGAGAGUGGGAGAGAGAGUGCCCCUGGCAUAAACCUGUAAUAGGGCUGUCUUCUAGCUGUAAGAAGGGUUGUGAUACAACAAGCUCUCACAGUCUCAUUGCAGAAUACCACGUUUGACCAUAAGCAUCAUAUUUACAUGGUUACGUUUAGGCAUGAACUCCAAAUGGUUAAGGGUUAAGGUUUGGAAUAAUGUUAAAAAAUAGUAAUAACUAAACUAGUGCCUAGCUCUGGGAUUGAACAUGCAACCCUCUGAGCCGGAGAUCGCCCGAGCAAAACCCAAGCCUACUUGAUGGUAAUAGCGCUCAACCGUGUCCCUCGUGGCAGUUUUGAAGUCAUCUUCUGACUUCUUGGGCACCUGGACGGAUGUGGAAUUUCUCAGUGGAUCUGGCUGUGAUAAUACGUCCCUUUCUGACCUCUGCUGCUUGAAAUGCAGGAACAAAUUGACUGUAACGUGGACCCACACA
rnacentral:lncRNA from 1 species